rnacentral:misc_RNA from 1 species
UUUCAUCUCUGUCUUUGCUUUCGUCUAUUCCUUCUCUGCAACUCAUUCUCACAGAGUUUUUGCUAAAAUGCGCUAUAUGCGUAUCGAGCAGUGACGAUUUCGGAUCUUUCAAAACAGGUGAGAGGAAAAAAAUGGCCAAUUGGAUCUCCUCGAAACUCAAAGUCGCUGAGACCUUCUUUGAACAGAUCGAUCAGCAAGCGGCGGAGUCGUUGAAGAAGAACGAGAAUCCAUCGCGAUCUGAGGAUAAAAAAUUUCAUGUACCUACAAAAACGGGAGGAGUAGGUGCUGGUGCUGGUGCUGGUGGAGUUAAUUGCGCGGCUGUAAGCACAGCCUCAGACGCAGAGACAAAAAGGAAAAAUAAGUUCGAGAUUCAAACACUCACAGGUUGGCUAUUGAAGCAGGAACAAGCAGAGAGCAAGCAUCUCUAACUUAACUGGAGUUCAGGGUGCUUUUAAUGUUCAAGGAGAGGACCAAAAGAAGCUUGAUGCGGUCUCUAAUGAGGUCUGCAAAUAGAAAAUUACUUUACUUUCAUAAACAACGCGUGCAUACAAAUUUUAAUAUAUUAUGAAGAUAGUCUAAAAAAUUAUCUGGAUUUUCAGUAUCUUUUAUUAUAAAUGAAGUGUGAAUGCUAGCAACAUAUUAGCUGCAAAUUGGAAUUCUUUGUUUGUAAAACUGUAAAUAUGCUAAGACAUCAUUGUGCUCUUUGAGCAAUUUAAAUCUCAAAAAUCAAUUCAGCAUUAUUAAUUCCUCAUUGGUAUCUCAAAAAUAAUAGUCCACUCCACUAUGCACAGUACGAUGACAGUCUUAAGCUUCCUAACAUCUCAUAACUCAUUCUUGAAUAGCAACAUCUUUUGUGUUUGAAUCAUCAGGCACAAUUAUUGAGAUUGGUUAUUUUGCACUUACAGGUGUUCUCUAGCUGCUUGAGAUCAAGUGGGCGGAC